GAUGAACGCUGGCGGCGUGCCUAAUACAUGCAAGUCGAGCGAACGGACGAGAAGCUUGCUUUUCUGAUGUUAGCGGCGGACGGGUGAGUAACACGUGGAUAACCUACCUAUAAGACUGGGAUAACUUCGGGAAACCGGAGCUAAUGCCGGAUAAUAUUUUGAACCGCAUGGUUCAAAAGUGAAAGACGGUCUUGCUGUCACUUAUAGAUGGAUCCGCGCUGCAUUAGCUAGUUGGUAAGGUAACGGCUUACCAAGGCAACGAUGCAUAGCCGACCUGAGAGGGUGAUCGGCCACACUGGAACUGAGACACGGUCCAGACUCCUACGGGAGGCAGCAGUAGGGAAUCUUCCGCAAUGGGCGAAAGCCUGACGGAGCAACGCCGCGUGAGUGAUGAAGGUCUUCGGAUCGUAAAACUCUGUUAUUAGGGAAGAACAUAUGUGUAAGUAACUGUGCACAUCUUGACGGUACCUAAUCAGAAAGCCACGGCUAACUACGUGCCAGCAGCCGCGGUAAUACGUAGGUGGCAAGCGUUAUCCGGAAUUAUUGGGCGUAAAGCGCGCGUAGGCGGUUUUUUAAGUCUGAUGUGAAAGCCCACGGCUCAACCGUGGAGGGUCAUUGGAAACUGGAAAACUUGAGUGCAGAAGAGGAAAGUGGAAUUCCAUGUGUAGCGGUGAAAUGCGCAGAGAUGUGGAGGAACACCAGUGGCGAAGGCGACUUUCUGGUCUGUAACUGACGCUGAUGUGCGAAAGCGUGGGGAUCAAACAGGAUUAGAUACCCUGGUAGUCCACGCCGUAAACGAUGAGUGCUAAGUGUUAGGGGGUUUCCGCCCCUUAGUGCUGCAGCUAACGCAUUAAGCACUCCGCCUGGGGAGUACGACCGCAAGGUUGAAACUCAAAGGAAUUGACGGGGGCCCGCACAAGCGGUGGAGCAUGUGGUUUAAUUCGAAGCAACGCGAAGAACCUUACCAAAUCUUGACAUCCUUUGACAACUCUAGAGAUAGAGCCUUCCCCUUCGGGGGACAAAGUGACAGGUGGUGCAUGGUUGUCGUCAGCUCGUGUCGUGAGAUGUUGGGUUAAGUCCCGCAACGAGCGCAACCCUUAAGCUUAGUUGCCAUCAUUAAGUUGGGCACUCUAAGUUGACUGCCGGUGACAAACCGGAGGAAGGUGGGGAUGACGUCAAAUCAUCAUGCCCCUUAUGAUUUGGGCUACACACGUGCUACAAUGGACAAUACAAAGGGCAGCGAAACCGCGAGGUCAAGCAAAUCCCAUAAAGUUGUUCUCAGUUCGGAUUGUAGUCUGCAACUCGACUACAUGAAGCUGGAAUCGCUAGUAAUCGUAGAUCAGCAUGCUACGGUGAAUACGUUCCCGGGUCU
rnacentral:rRNA from 1 species